rnacentral:lncRNA from 1 species
GGGCUAUUCAGGGGAGGGUAGAGGAGGCCUGCUACUCAUGGUGAAGGCAGCUAGCUCUAAACCUCCCUUAGUGAGGGAUGACCUGUGUGUAUGGAUUCAACAUGAAAGACUGAGGAGAUCCGUUAUCAAAAUGUACCAAAGAGUUGUACUGGGACGUGUGCCAGGCACUUGUGAUACAGCCAAUAGAGAGCAGACCAGUUGGAAUCAGACAGCUGUUGCAAAGAUGCCAGGACUGCAUUAGUCCCUCUGCUUCUUGGUCCCACUCUAAGAAUACUAGAAGACAGAGCUGAAGACAGGAUGGUGCUGAACACGCAAUCGUGCACACAGCCUGGAAUCUUCUCUCAAGGAACUGUUUGAAGGCUACUGAGCUGAACAAAGACUCGGAGCAAUUCAACAAGUCUGAGGUUUCUUAAGGCAUUUUUAUUAUUUUGACAAUAAGAUUGUGUGUUUUAAUCAGAGAAUGUUGCCUCAGAAUUGUUACCAGUGAUUAUUUCUACUGCUUGUGUGUGUGUGUGCGCGUGUGCGUGUGUGUGAAUAACAUUAAUAUGAACAGUGUGUAUU